UGCUAGUUGUGCGGGUUUAGACCCGCAGCGGAAAGCUCAGUAACACGUGGCCAAACUACCCUGUGGAUGGGAACAAUCUCGGGAAACUGAGGCUAAUUCCCAAUAACGCUCCACCCCUGGAACGGGCGGAGCUGGAAACGCUACGGCGCCACAGGAUGUGGCUGCGGUCGAUUAGGUAGACGGUGGGGUAACGGCCCACCGUGCCAAUAAUCGGUACGGGUUGUGAGAGCAAGAGCCCGGAGACGGAAUCUGAGACAAGAUUCCGGGCCCUACGGGGCGCAGCAGGCGCGAAACCUUUACACUGUACGCAAGUGCGAUAAGGGGACUCCGAGUGUGAAGGCAUAGAGCCUUCACUUUUGUACACCGUAAGGUGGUGUACGAAUAAGGGCUGGGCAAGACCGGUGCCAGCCGCCGCGGUAAUACCGGCAGCCCGAGUGAUGGCCGAUAUUAUUGGGCCUAAAGCGUCCGUAGCUGGCCGGACAAGUCCGUUGGGAAAUCUGUUCGCUUAACGAGCAGGCGUCCAGCGGAAACUGUUCGGCUUGGGACCGGAAGACCUGAGGGGUACGUCCGGGGUAGGAGUGAAAUCCUGUAAUCCUGGACGGACCACCGGUGGCGAAAGCGCCUCAGGAGGACGGAUCCGACAGUGAGGGACGAAAGCUAGGGUCUCGAACCGGAUUAGAUACCCGGGUAGUCCUAGCUGUAAACGAUGCCCCUAG
rnacentral:rRNA from 1 species